CUAGAGAUAGAGAGAUAGCUAUAGGGGAUACAGGUGGUGCAUGGUUGUCGUCAGCUCGUGUCGUGAGAUGUUGGGUUAAGUCCCGCAACGAGCGCAACCCUUGUCGCUAGUUACCAUCAUUAAGUUGGGGACUCUAGCGAGACUGCCUCUGCAAGGAGGAGGAAGGCGGGGAUGACGUCAAAUCAUCAUGCCCCUUAUGACCUGGGCUACACACGUGCUACAAUGGACGGAUCAAAGGGAAGCGAAGCCGCGAGGUGGAGCGAAACCCAAAAACCCGUUCUCAGUUCGGACUGCAGUCUGCAACUCGACUGCACGAAGUUGGAAUCGCUAGUAAUCGCGAAUCAGAAUGUCGCGGUGAAUACGUUCUCGGGCCUUGUACACACCGCCCGUCACACCAUGAGAGUUGGUAACACCCGAAGCCGGUGGCUUAACCGCAAGGAGAGAGCUGUCUAAGGUGGGACUGAUGAUUAGGGUGAAGUCGUAACAAGGUAUCCCUACGGGAGCGUGCG
rnacentral:rRNA from 1 species